AGAAUUGAUCUGGUUCAGAACGAACGCUGGUGGCGUGUCUAUACAUGCAAGUCGAGCGAGGCAGCAAUGCCGAGCGGCGAACGGGUGAGUAACGCGUAAGCAAUCUGCCCCAUAUCAGGAAAUACCCGUGCCAACGCGCGGUUAAUGUCCAGGAGAGUGGCCCUCUGCAUGGAGGGUUGACUAGAGAUUUAUCGGUAUGGGAUGAGCUUGCGUCCGAUUAGCUAGUUGGCGGGGCAACGGCCCACCAAGGCGACGAUCGGUAGCCGGCCUGAGAGGGUGAUCGGCCACAUUGGGACUGAGAUACGGCCCAGACUCCUACGGGAGGCAGCAGUAGGGAAUAUUGCACAAUGGGGGAAACCCUGAUGCAGCAACGCCACGUGUGGGAAGAAGCAUUUCGGUGUGUAAACCACUGUCAUGAGGGAAUAAGGCCCGCCUUCGGACGGGAUUGAAUGUACCUUGAGAGGAAGCACCGGCAAACUUCGUGCCAGCCGCCGC
rnacentral:rRNA from 1 species